GAGACUAACAGGAUGCGCUUAGUAACGGCGAGCGAACCGCGCACAGCCCAACUUGAAAAUCUCCCUCGGAGAAUUGUAGUCUAUAGAAGUACCCUCUGCAACGGGCCGAGCUAAAGUCUCCUGGAAAGGGGCGUCAGAGAGGGUGAGAACCCCGUAAGCUUGUGCUUAGUUGCCUCACGAGGUGCUUUCGAAGAGUCGGGUUGCUUGGGAAUGCAGCCCAAAUUUGGUGGUAAAUCCCAUCUAAGGCUAAAUACUGGCGAGAGACCGAUAGCGAACAAGUACCGUGAGGGAAAGAUGAAAAGAACUUUGAAAAGAGAGUUAAAAAGUGCUUGAAAUUGUUGAGGGGGAAGCGUUUGAAUGCUCGGGUGCGCUCAGGCUUAUGGGUCCUUAACGGGGCUCUGUAUGUGCUGAGUGCUGGCCAGCAUGGGUUAGGCUAGUGGGACAAAAGCGUGGGUUGAUACCAUGCCGCUGCCACUGGCUUGACCAAGGCGUGAAGACUGCCCUUGUCCUUCGGGAACUGCAGUCUCAAGAUGCUGUAA
rnacentral:rRNA from 1 species